UACGUAGGGGGCUAGCGUUGUCCGGAUUUAUUGGGCGUAAAGAGCGUGUAGGCGGCCAGGUAGGUCUGGUGUGAAAACUCGAGGCUUAACCUCGAGAUGUCAUCGGAAACCAUCUGGCUAGAGUCCGGAAGAGGAGAGUGGAAUUCCCUGGUGUAGCGGUGAAAUGCGCAGAUAUCAGGAAGAACACCAAUGGCGAAAGCAGCUCUCUGGGACGGUACUGACGCUGAGACGCGAAAAGCGUGGGGAGCGAACAGG
rnacentral:rRNA from 1 species